AUGGUUUUGGGGUGUUGGGAUCUAAUCGUUCCUGACAUAGACCUCUUCUCUCUCUCACUUGCUCCUCGUGGCCUCUUCUCUUCCGCUACCAUUAAACCUCUCCCCGAUUUUCAUGGCUUCCCCUCUUUCCACACCUCCUCUCUAGACCUCCAUUUCUUCACCUCCGCUCCUGCUAAUCUCGCCAAUUACAAUCCCAAUCUAUAUAUGGACAUGAGAAGAUCCGCCCUCCAGAAAUCCGCCACCAACACCGCCGCGAUACUCUUCUUUCCUAUCAAACGACCGCUAACCGUCUCGCCUCAUCCCUUACCGCGACCGGAUAAUCUAAUCGCUAAACCUAAACCUAAACCUAAACCAAAAGAGGCUCCUCAAUCGCCGAAUCCCCCUGAUUCAGCUGCAUUUGAUCAGCGAUUUCGUGAUACCGCGAGUUUUUCUUCUGCUCUUUCCGCACCGAAUUUGAAUUCAUUUCACUGUAGCGAUUUGCUUACGCGUUUGAAUCCUAGCCAAUUUGAUUCUAUUUUUUGGGAAAUUCAUAAUAAUGUUGAUCCUUCCACCGCAUUGAAGUUCUUUUACGUUGCCGGGAACCGCUGCAGCUUUAGGUUUUCGCUUAGAUCGUAUUGCGUGUUGUUUCACUUGUUGCUUUCUAAGAAUCUCGAUUCAGCUGCGCGGUUGCUCCUGAUAAGAUUGAUUGAUGGAAAGUUGCCCAUGGCAUUGAGGGAUGAUGUUGGGGAUUUGCAUAGGGAGAUUGCUACUGUUUUGGCAGAUGCUUGUUUUGGUUCGGAGAGAUUUAGGGGAGGGGUGAGAGCGUUUGAUAUUUUGGCUCAUGUUUAUGUUAGUGAUCUUAAGAGCUUCGGGUUUGAUGUUGCAAUGGAUGUGUUUAGGUUCUUAGCCAGUAGAGAGUUGGUUCCAUCUGUCAGGACUUGCGUUUUUUUUAUGAGCACUCUUGUUAAGGAAGGCGAACCUGAGAAAGGCUACGAAGUUUUUAAUAUUGUUUCGAGAAAAUUUUCACCAGAUCUUCACUUAUACAGUAUUGCAAUAAAUGCGCAGUGCAAAAGAGGUAAGGUUGAGGAGGCAAUUGAACUGUUUAAGCAAAUGGAGAGUAAAGGAGUUACACCGAAUGUUGUUAUAUAUAACAAUCUAAUGCAUGGCCUAUGUAGAAGCGGGAGACUGGAAGAGGCAUUCCAGCUUAAGGAGAGGAUGGUAGAUAAGGGGAUUCAACCAACUCAUGUUACUUAUGGUGUUCUGAUUAACAGUCUGAUGGAGCUUCAGAAAUACGGUGAAGCUGAUUGUGUCUUGAAAAAGAUGUCGAGUAAGGGGCUUAUUCCCAAUGUUGUUGUUUAUAACACAUUGAUUCAUGGGUUUUGUAAGAUAGGAAAUUUGACAAUUGCCCUGAAGUUAAAGGAUGAUAUGUCAUUACUAGGUGUUAUUCCAAAUUCAGUUACUUAUAAUACUCUCAUAAAUGGACUCUGCAAGGACAAUCAAAUAGAUUUAGCCGAGCAGUUCUUAAGAAAAAUGAUGAAAGGAGGAUUAAGUAUAAACGUAGGUACUAUACAUUCUGUCAUUCAUGGAUUAUGUAAAAACUUAAGAUUGGACUCUGCUCUUAUGUACACCAUGUUGAUGAUCUUUAAGAACUUGAGGCCUGACAAUAUGUUGUUGACAACAUUGAUGAGCAGACUUUGCCAGAAUCAUAUGCAUUCAGAAGCCUUGAAGCUGUAUUAUGAUCUGCAGGGUACAGGAGUUGGUUGCAAUACAGUGACCUUAAAUGCUCUUGUUUUUGGACUUUCUGAAAUUGGUAAUGUGCAAGAAGCUAAAUCUAUCAUCAAGAGCAUGUUGGAUUGUGGUGUUAAGUUGGAUACUUUCACGUACAAUGCACUCAUCUACGGGUGUUGCAAAGAGGAUAUGUUGGAAAUUGGCUUUAAGCUCAAGGAAGAAAUGACUGAGAAAGGAAUCUCCUCAGACAUUAUGACGUACAACAUGCUGAUAAACAGGUUAUCUAAAAAGGGUAAAAUGGAUGAAGCGCUGAUGCUGUGGCACGAAUGCCAAAGGAAUGAUCUUGUUCCUGAUGUUCAUUUAUAUGCAGUAAUGAUAGCUGGGUAUUGCAAUGGUGAAAAUUUUGAGGAGGCUAUGAAUUUCUUUGAUAUGUUACUGCAGCAGAAUAUUAAGCCGAAUUCUGUUGUAUAUAACAUACUCAUUGGAGCAUACUCUAGGGUUGGAAACAUGCCAGAGGCCUUCAAACUCUUUGGUGAGAUGAGAAGCAAAGGUAUUCCACGCACCCUGGUCACCUAUUCUUCUCUAAUACAUGGAAUGGGCAAUGUUGGCCGAGUAAAUGAAUCAACAUAUCUGUUUGAUGAAAUGAGAAAGGAUGGUUUGCAGCCUGAUGUAGUAUGUUACACUGCACUAAUUGGUGGUUAUUGUAAGCUAGGCCAGAUGAAUGAAGCAACAAGUGUCUUGCAGGAAAUGUCUUCAUUUAACAUACAGCCGAAUAAGAUAACUUACACAGUAAUAAUCCAUGGGUACUGCAAGUUGGGUAGGACAGGAGAGGCUGCUGAGGGUCUUAGGGAAAUGCUAAGCAAAGGUAUCACUCCUGAUUCUGUGACUUAUAAUGUGCUGUCACAAGGGUUCUGCAAAGAAGGGGAUACAAAGAAAGCCUUCGCCCUGUGGGAACACAUGUCUGAUAGAGGAAUAAAUUUAGAUGAUGUUGCACAUACUUCAUUGGUUCACUGCAUGUCCCAGCAAUCAAAGAAAGAAAGCCACUAACUCUGGACUGUGAUAUUAUUGAAACUAUUACUGGAUGUCAAUUUCAGCUUUGGGACAUGAAGAUUGCAUCAUCCAACAAACCAAAAAUUAGGUCCGCGAGCAUCUGACUUCUGCCAGGCUGAGCUUGAGUGUUGAUUCAAUCUCAGACUCCAAUCACUUAAGUGACAGGUUUGUACAGCAGUAUUGGAGAUUGCCCAUCAACAAAGAGUGUUGAGUUGAGCCACGAAUGCCACAGCGAUUGAUGAUCAUUAAGUGUAAGUGUACCUCCGGUAAAACAAGAAUUCAACUACUGUAUCAGGUUAAUCGAACUCCAUCCUUUACUUGUACUUCUCCUUUAGGCCAACUGUUUCUGUUAGUUUGUAGAAGUUGACAUCUUGAACUUUUCUUUCUCAAAUUCAUAAAUGUAACGGUUCAUGACAGGGUCAGAGUAUGAGCUAUGCCCACAGUCAAGAUAUUGUAGUAUAUGAUAGUCGCACCAUUUUGGUGGAUGGGUUGUGCUUGAAGCGAGUCUACGAAAUUGCAAAGUGUCACUGUUUGAAUCCGAUGGUGCAGUUAGUUUUCAUUCAAAUACUCCCUUGAUAUGUAGAAGAUGGCAGGCACAUCGGUUGGAAAUCUGAAAAUGUAUUCCAAUUAUGUAGGAGGGAGAGAAUGCAGCUGGGAAAUUUAUACAUACAUGUAUAUAAUCUGUUGAAUAUAGUUGAAAUAACAGACAGCAUCCAGUUAAGUGUAUAAUGCUCAAUAAUAGUCUUGUCAUUGAAUCUGUGUAUGGCAUUGCACGUGUAUUCACCAAAUAUUACAUAAAAAGUAACAUUUUCAACUUAAAUGUAUACAUCCCUGAUUA